UUAAAUUGAAGAGUUUGAUCAUGGCUCAGAUUGAACGCUGGCGGCAGGCCUAACACAUGCAAGUCGAGCGGAAACGACACUAACAAU
rnacentral:rRNA from 2 species